UAGGAAGUUGCUUAGUAGCCUCUAAAU
rnacentral:piRNA from 1 species